rnacentral:rRNA from 1 species
CCUACGGGUGGCAGCAGUAGGGAAUAUUGCUCAAUGGGGGAAACCCUGAAGCAGCAACGCCGCGUGGGGGAUGAAGGUUUUCUGAUUGUAAACUCCUUUUGUUAGAGAAGAUAAUUACGGUAUCUACCGACUAUUCUCCGGCUAACUCCGUUCCAGCAGCCGCGGUAAUACGGAGGGUGCCAGCGUUACGCGGAUUCACUGGGCGUAAAGGGCGCGUAGGCGGGAUAGCAAGUCAGAUGUGAAAUCCUAUGGCUUAACCAUAGAACUGCCGUUGAAACUGGUAGGCUUGAGUAUGGGAGAGGUAGGCGGAAUUCGUGGUGUAGCGGUAAAAUCCUUAGAGAUCAAGAGGAACACUGAUUGCGAAGGCGACCUACUAGAACGUGACUGACAUUGAUGCGCGAGAGCGUGGGUAGCAAACAGGAUUAGAUACCCGUGUAGUC